GCCUUUCCUGUCAAUAACCCUGGGGAGCCUAAAAUCAAUUAACGGGAAGUACUUUUCUGACCAGUGCGACGGUGAUAAUCUUCGGAACUCCCAUAGUGGGGAAAAUCUGGAAAGGAUUCUAAUCCGCUUACGUCCCUACGGGGGAAAGCAGGGAUUUUUCAGACCCUUCGCUUAAUUGAUGAGCCUAAGUCGGAGUAGCUAGGUGGUUGGGUAAAGGCCUACCAAGGAGACGAUCUGUWGCGUGUCUGAGAGGAUGAACCGCCACACUUGGACUGURGACAMGGCCCMGACUCCUACGGGRGGCAGCAGUUGGGAAUAUUUGACAAUUGGGGGGAACCCUGAACCAAGCCAUUGCCGCGUGUGUGAAUGAAGGCCCUUAUGGGUUGUAAAGCACCUUUAAGCGAGGAGGAGGACUACUGUUAGUUAAUACCUAGAGAUAGUGACGUACUAGCAGAAUAAGCACCGCUAAC
rnacentral:rRNA from 1 species